rnacentral:SRP_RNA from 1 species
GCCGGGUGCAGUGGCUCGUGCGUAUAGUCCCAGCUACUUGGGAGGCUGAGGUGGGAGGACUUGCUUGAGUUCAGGAGUUCUGGGCUGUAGUGUGCUGUGCCUAUCAGGUGUCUGCACUAAGUUUGGCAUCAAUAUGGUGACAUCCCGGGCAGAGGGGACCACCAGGUUGCCUAAGGAGGGGUGAACCGGCCCAGGUCAGAAACAAAGCUGGUCAAAACUCCCAUGGUGAUCAGUAGUGGGAUCACACCUGUGAAUAGACACUGCACUCCAGACUGGGCAAUAUAGCGAGACCCCAUCUCU